CCUCUGCUGCUGCAUCCCCCGCUUAAUACUCAAGCCAGAAACCAGGAAGGCUGUGGCUUGCCUUUUCACUUCUUGUGUCCUGUUUAAGAAAUAUCUGCUAUCCCAAGCAUCUGGCAUCUUUCUUGACAUACGUAGCAGUUGCUUUUUGACAGCUUGCUUCUGGAGUGAAUGAAUAAAUUAAUAAAUUUAUUCAUUUGAUAUUCAGUGACAUGUGAUAUUCAGUGAUCCAUUUUGCAGGAUAAACCAGUAUUCUGGACUAAGCCAACCUGGGAGACCCUAGGAAGCCUGUUUGAGAAAGUGACAUUUAAAUUGAGACUUGGCUGUGGCUGUGGCUACAUAUCUAAUUGCAAACUCCUAGAGAAGGGCUCAACAGUGAGUGUUGAGGCUGCACAGAGGAGGAAGGUAGCACAAUGAUGGAAGGCUUCCUAAAGAGGCUCUUGAGUUUCUGCUUUCAAGUGACCCUCAGAAAUGCCCCCAUUCACUGCAGAGGUUCUGUUUCUCCUUGUUUUGUUCCGACUUUAUGGCAGAACUAGGUUAAUGAGUUAAUUACUAUGAGUUAUCACUUGGAUUUGAAGAACCAUCAUUUCUAGGCUUUGCUGCUCAGAGUGGGUUUGCCCUCAGGGGAAGCUAUCUAACCAGAGCCUAACCCACUAGGGUUUUAUCAGAACCUAACUGGCCUGAGGAAAAGAAAUAUUCAACUCCAGCAAGCUCCAGCCUUCCAAACGGAGGAGGAGAAAACCCAAAUCCAGCCCACUUCAGCUAUCUUGUCCCACAUAAAGGGGGAGUGGAAGAAACGUGAGAAGCAGGCAUGAAGUUCACAGUCCGGAGGUACAGACACAUCAGAGUUCAGUAUCUGAUGAAUUAGAUGCAAAAUCCUCAACAAAGUAUUAGCAAAUUGAAUUCAACAAUGUAUGAAAAUUAUUACAUGCCAUGACUAAUUGGAAUUUAUCUCAGGUAUACAAGCCAUGCUGAACAUCUGAAAAUCAAUUCAUGUGAUCCAUCACAUUAGCAGAUUCAAGAAAAAAAAAACCACAUUAUCAUAUCAGUAGAUGUAGAAAAAAAAAAUUAACAAAAUCCAGCACGCAUUCACAAUGAAAAUGCUCAGUAAAUUAGAAAUAGAAGGUAACUUCCUCAACUUGACAAGGAAUAUCUCUAAAAACCUACAACUAAAAUCAUACUUAAUGGUAAAAAACUAGAAGCCUUCCCAGUAAGAGUAAGAACAAGGCAAAGAUGUAUGCUCUCACCACUCCUUUUCAACAUCAUAUUGGAAGUCCUAGCUAGUGCAAUAAGCAAAAAAAAAAAAAAAA
rnacentral:lncRNA from 1 species